rnacentral:lncRNA from 1 species
CUGACAUCGACGACGGCACCAAUCACCUGACAAACCUGGCCGAUCGAGCCGGCUCCAGUGAACUCGUCAGUGAUCUUUCCACUCGGUCCUACGUCCGACUUGGCAGAUGGUGGGGAGGAAGGUGGUGGAGUGGCGGCGGCGGCGGAGGUGGCGUAUUGAGCGACACGGUUGAGGAGGUAGCCAUAAGGGGAAGCGCGAGAAGUGUUGGAUAAUGGAAUUCUGGGGUUGGGGGAAGAGAUGGGAGAUCUGGAAGAAGACCGCCGUGCCGACGAUCGGAGAAGGGAAGAUAAGAGUCUGCGUGAAGCCAUUGCUUGUUAGGGCUUCAGAAGCUCAGCAUAGGGUUCGAUGAAUGAGAGUGGAAUGGCAC